UUUUCAUGCCUAGCGGUGCGGCUCGGCUCCUACCCGGCGUAUUUGCACUCAAGACGCAUCCCUUUACUGGGGUAGUCGAGAGAGUGUUUCGUUGGGCGGUGCUGGGUUUAGCUAACGUGACGGCGUAUGAGUGGUAAUUGGGUUGUAUCCGACGGCAGGCUCCGUGCUUCGGCAUCGAACUGUCGGCUCGUACCCCGCUUCAUCGAUGCAUCAAGAUUUGUCUUGUGCGCAGGAUGGGUUUCUGUUUCGGCUACCUAUUGCGAAGGAAUGUUGCCUCUCGUCGUCCCUUUCCUCCUCUCGUCGGCCUUGCCGGCGGGAGGACGACAUCGCAGCGGCACUCGUGUCCCGGACGAGCCGCACUCGUUGCGUUGCAGUUUCGGUCCUCGAGUUUCCGCCCGACAUCUCGGAUGCGGAACGCCAAGGGGACGGUGGGUCUUUACGGCCUCCGAUCGUCCGCUCGAAUCCCUGUCGCUCGACGCGUACGACUGUCGUGCCCGUUGCGAGCCGUCGACCGUCAAGGUCGUCCGGCUGGCGCGGCGCCGACGUCGAAGAGGAAUGC
rnacentral:misc_RNA from 1 species